AACAAACGUUACCGAGGAAGUUUCUAAAGAGAUGCUUCCGGGAAAGCACAACUUAAGCGCUUGUGGCUGAGCAGUUUCUGUUGAGACGAAUUAUCUCUCGUUGCAAUAACAGCGGUGCACAUUAUUUUGUCCGUCACAGCAUUUCUUGGGAAUUCUUUCAUCCUUGUUGCCCUUCACAAGGAAUCUUCCCUCCAUCCGCCCUCCAGACUCUUGUAUCGUUGUCUGGCAACAACUGAUCUGUUGGUUGGUCUUGUUGCCCAGCCUCUCUAUGCUACCGUGAACUUCUUGGAUAACAGGACUCUCGAAGACCGGGAGAUUUUCCGUAACGUAGACAACGCGACCUUCAUCACAGCCUAUGCAUUAUGUGGAGUGUCUUUAUUGACGAUGACGGCCAUAAGCGUGGACAGACUUCUCGCCCUGUUGUUGGCGCUGAGAUACAAACAAUUUGUAACUUUGAAGCGCACAGUCAUCAUUGUAGUAGCCAUUUGGGUUUUAGCUCUUGUUGCUUCUGUAUCUUUCAUUUUUGAUUACCGUAUAACCGUUUUGUACGGCCUCAUAUUUACGCCAAUUUGCCUGGUUAUCUCAAUCACCUCAUACACAAAAAUCUUUUGCGUUCUUAGUCACCAUCAGGCUCAGCUACAAAAUCAUUCUCAAGGACAACCGUGCCAACCAAAUGCACUGCACAUGGCGCGAUACAGAAAGGCAGUGUACAGUGCACUGUGGGUACAGUUAGCAUUAGUCGUUUGUUAUGCACCAUUCGUUGUGGUGAAAAUUGUGCUCAGCCAUAGUAAAACGUAUUCAUCGCACUUAUGGGUCAUUAGGGAAAUAGUGCUUGUCUUAGUUUACUUGAACUCGACGUUAAACCCGUUUCUUUACUACUGGAGGAUCAGUGAAGUAAGAAAAGCAGUAAAGCAGACAAUCUGGCAAGCACUUUGCUGUACAUGGAGAUAGAUCUCGAUUGCGUUGCAAUCGUAUUUGAAAUAGUUUAAAAGCUGACUUCUAAAGUCAUGGGUUAUUUUAGGAAGCUCGUAGGAUACUUCAGUAGAAGAAAGAAAUAAGAGACUCAAUGAAAUCGUCGCACAUAUGGAAGACAGGGAAUCGUAACAAAAUACCACUUAUCCUAGAUAGGACAUUACAUAAUUAAACAAAAACAAAACAAAAGAUAUACGCGCAUGGUAUAGAAAGGUACGAGAUGUUUGACUUUAGCGUCUUGUCUUCUACUAAAGUAUGGGGUAAAAAGUAGAGCUGUUAGAGUUUUAAAUGUAACACUUCGGAUUUUUUGUUCUUUCUAACUGAAAGCGCUUGACGUUAGCGCCAUAUUGUCAUACGAGCCAAGUCACAACGUCAGUUUUAAACAGUCAUUUGUGUUGUUAUAUGAGAGAAAUGUCCAUCUGUCCAUAAUGCUUAAGAAUUCUAGAGAUGUUAUCAUUACUUGCAGACAGUGUGUAGG